CUUGGCAUGAACCGCUAUUAGUGAUGACACUGAAAGUUUGUUACAUAAAACUCUUUAGAAGACAUAAAGAAGUUUAAUAGAUAUCUGGAAAACAGAACUGGAAUUGAUUCUGAAACAACAAGAAAAGACCCUCAAGACUGAAAGCAAAAUGUAUUUUUUUUCUUUUAAAUUUCUUGGGGAGACAUUUUUCGUUGUCUUUAACAGCUUGAGGAUUUUUUGUGAUGGUAUCGGGCAAGCCUAUGAAUUCACGCUGCUUCUGCGAAAAUGGCUUUCUUUUCCAGUCACUGCCUGAUCACUUGCAAAUUAGGUAACAUGCAGAUUAGUUCAUACCAGUACAAGGAUAUUCGUAACAGCACAAGCCGACUGAAGUGUGUCACGAACCUCCUGAAGAAGAGCUCUGUGCCACUUGAAACUUGUAUCCUUCCCCAUCAGAAGCUGGUCCUGUAAAAAAAUAUUAUUCCAUCCAUCUUGCCUCAUGAAACUCCAGUCUUACAUAAAUAGUGCAUCCACAAGUAGUGUUCCCACAAAUAUACACUUAAUGGACCUGAUGCCCUAUUGUGCUGCUCCAUUUCUAUCAGUGUAACCCCAUGGAUUUCAGUAGAUAUAAAUUAGUGUAAAAGUGGAAUAAUUCAACAGUGAAUCAAGCACAAUAUUUUAAAAGAUAUAAAAAGGACUCGUCACUGUACACUAACCUGGCUGGUUCGUGUUUAGCUAAUUUAGACAUCUGCAAUUCAUAUCCUCAAAAUAACCAUCUCUCCACCUACUUCCUGCAGAAAGUGGUUAAAGAAAUGUUAAAUUACCAAGAAUUAUUUGUAUAAUCUACCCCAUAGUGAAGCACCCUAAAUAAAACUUGUUAAAUAAAUGAACAACUGCAAUUCAUGCAAUAAUCUGGAUUUUUAAUUGAAUUGUUUAUUCUCUAACUUGCAAACCCCAGUAAUUUAGAGUUGUCCUCCCUCUUAUUAGUGUGUAUUUUCAAAGUAUCCAGCUUGGAGUUUGCACAAUAAAGCCAUAAAAUUCCCCAUUGA